UGAAACUUAAAACAGGAAAUUUUUUGGAUGUAAGUCUUGUAGUAGUGCUCACAUGCAUAUAUUUGACAAAUAUGUAUCUUCUUAUGCUUCUGUGGAAGAAGUAAACUUGGGUGUUGGAGCACCCAAAAGUUAUGCAAUUUGCCCUACACCAUUAUUAUAUUUUUACCCAAUAAAUAUUGUUUGAAAUGCCUGAAAGCAAUUGCAUCUCAGUUAUAAAUUAUUAAUUUUUAGUAUAAUUAUUUUUUCAUCAGAUAUCGUAAGAAUUUAUUGGACCAAUGCAGUGCUUGCAACUUUUCUUAUGCAUCUAGAAGAAAAAACAUGGCGGAAUGUUUCCUUUAUCACUUCAUUUUGCCAGAAUUGAAUAAGUGUAAGCAAUUUUCUUGCAUGGCUGAAGCCGUCAAUAGGAUCUUUUCAAUUUUUUGUUACUGUGUCCCAGUUGGACAUCAACUUUAGAUAUGCAACUGACUGGAUUUAUUUCCUGUUUUUUUGUUUUAGCUACCAUGUGUUAAAUAUUUCUAUUGAUGCUGCUUUUAGGCUCUUUAUUUCCUAGGAAAAAUUCUGAACUAUGAGAAAAUAUGGUUAUAAUGGGGAUGGAAAAAACUGUAAUUUGUACUUUUUGUUUAAUCUAUUUAACACCUAUUUGGCUAUUUAAUAAUCACUUCACUUUGUGCAUCUGGUUGUGUUAAACUUUGCA
rnacentral:lncRNA from 1 species